GCGGGUGUAGCUCAGUUGGUAGAGCGCUACCUUGCCAAGGUAGUUGUCGUGGGUUCGAGACCCAUCACCCGCUCCA
rnacentral:tRNA from 1 species